CAAACGGCUCUUUUAAGAGCCACAAAAUUUUCGAUGAAGAAAGGAU
rfam:Sarcoptes scabiei Contig12412, whole genome shotgun sequence.